GGGCGGGGCAUGCUGGCUCCACCAACCACAGCUGGCAGGAGAGCAGCAUGUGGGUGACUGAUAAACUAACUGACCCAUUAUUUGAUGGGAGGAGGAAGGGAGAAAUCCCAGGCAGCCAAUGAGAGAAAACAUCACCUCAGGGAAGGGCAGGCCCCAAACCAGGCCAGAGUGACAGCCUAGGGGACCAAUCCGAGGCAGCAUCACCUCAGGGGAGGACUCUGAGAGCCCUCCCCACCUAUGCCAGUGAAGACCGAUGUGAGAAGGCGGUGGGCUCUGCCGGCAGCCAGGCCAGGCUUCGACAUGGCGCACGUGGGGCCUGCCCCAGGCCGAGCAGCCCCCGGCCCAGGGCCUCUCUUCCCCCCUUCCACACCUCCCCCCUCUCUCCCCUCCGCCAUGUUCUGGAACCCCCAUCUCCAUGGGAGCCACCGCCUCACAGAGAGUCAGUAUCCCAUGGCCGGGCCACUAGACAGCAGCCAUGGACCACCAGGCUUCUCACCACCAUCACCACUGGCAUCCGACUGGCGGUGACGAGGAUGUGACGACACCAAGGGGCUGUACCUGCAGAGCCUGGGCCGCUGCCGGCAGUGAGCGCUGAUGGCCUCCAUCCUGUCUCCCCCCUCUCACGGCUACCGCAAGCUGGUGACUGCCCAGCAGCACCUCUUCCUCCUGGAUUACAGCAGGACCCUAGCACAUCUUCCGCAUCAGCUUCCCUGCCUCCAUCUGCUUCCGACAGGUGGUCGUCACCAGCCCGGAGGUGAUGUGGAUCCUUCUGCUGCUCAGAGGUCCCCCACUGGGUCAGCGGCCUCAGCACCUCCUGCCGUUGCCUCUUCCUCCGCUGCGG